UACGUAGGGGGCGAGCGUUGUCCGGAGUUACUGGGCGUAAAGCGCACGCAGGCGGUCUGCUAAGUUUGGAGUGACAGUUGGUGGCUUAACUGCCAAAGUGCUUCGAAAACUGACAGACUUGAGGGCUUCAGAGGGACACGGAAUUCCGGGUGUAGCGGUGGAAUGCGUAGAGAUCCGGAAGAACACCGGUGGCGAAGGCGGCCUGCUGGGCAGUUGCUGACACUGAGGCGCGACAGCGUGGGGAGCAAACAGGAUUGAGAUACC
rnacentral:rRNA from 1 species